rnacentral:tRNA from 1 species
GCGGGAAUAGCUCAGUUGGUAGAGCGCAACCUUGCCAAGGUUGAAGUCGCGGGUUCAAGUCCCGUUUCCCGCU